rnacentral:rRNA from 1 species
CCUACGGGGGGCUGCAGUGAGGAAUAUUGGUCAAUGGACGCAAGUCUGAACCAGCCAUGCCGCGUGCAGGAAGACGGCUCUAUGAGUUGUAAACUGCUUUUGUACGAGGGUAAACGCAGAUACGUGUAUCUGUUUGAAAGUAUCGUACGAAUAAGGAUCGGCUAACUCCGUGCCAGCAGCCGCGGUAAUACGGAGGAUUCAAGCGUUAUCCGGAUUUAUUGGGUUGAAAGGGUGCGUAGGCGGUCGGAUAAGUUAGUGGUGAAAGCCGGAGGCUCAACUUCGGAAUUGCCUCUGAUACUGUUCGGCUAGAGAGGAGUUGCGGUAGGCGGAAUGUAUGGUGGAGCGGUGAAAUGCUUAGAGAUCAUACAGAACACCGAUUGCGAAGGCAGCUUACCAAGCUACUUCUGACGUUGAGGCACGAAAGCGUGGGGAGCAAACAGGAUUAGAUACCCCUGUAGUC